AUUUAUCGAUAACUGAGUUAUAGGUCAAAAUGUGAUUGCCCAAAAACCUUAAAAUUUUCCUACAAUAUGGGUAUCAAACGAAAGGUGAAGGCCCCAGGUUUCAUUUGGACUUCGAUAUAUUUCGAUAAAUUUAUCGAUAACUGAGUUAUCGGUCAAAAUGUGAUUGCCCAAAAACCUUUAAAUUUUCCUACAAUAUGGGUUUCAAAGGAAAGGGGAAGGCACCAGGUUUCAUUUGGAUAUAUUUCGAUAAAUUUAUCGAUAACUGAGUUAUAGGUCAAAAUGUGAUUGC